UCACCCUUCAAGCCCUACGCUUGGUGUUGGACGGCUUGGUCGCAUAUCUCGUUCGACCCCUCCUAAAGACAAUGACGGCGGCCUGUGGUUCCCCCGGUACACUGAGCUUCUUAACUGAGCACGUAUCGGACAAGGGCGCCCGGGUCACGGUCCUCUCCCGUAACGGGAAAAAACUUUUUACCAA
rnacentral:misc_RNA from 1 species